UAACCCAGGCUAAUACCGCAUACGUCCUACGGGAGAAAGCAGGGGAUCUUCGGACCUUGCGCUAUCGGAUGAGCCCAUGUCGGAUUAGCUUGUUGGUGAGGUAAUGGCUCACCAAGGCGACGAUCCGUAGCUGGUCUGAGAGGAUGAUCAGCCACAUCGGGACUGAGACACGGCCCGAACUCCUACGGGAGGCAGCAGUGGGGAAUAUUGGACAAUGGGCGAAAGCCUGAUCCAGCCAUGCCGCGUGUGUGAAGAAGGCCCUCGGGUUGUAAAGCACUUUCAGUGGGGAAGAAAGCCUUGGGAUUAAUACUCCCGAGGAAGGACAUCACCCACAGAAGAAGCACCGGCUAACUCCGUGCCAGCAGCCGCGGUAAUACGGAGGGUGCGAGCGUUAAUCGGAAUUACUGGGCGUAAAGCGCGCGUAGGCGGUCUGAUAAGCCGGUUGUGAAAGCCCCGGGCUCAACCUGGGAACGGCAUCCGGAACUGUCAGGCUAGAGUGCAGGAGAGGAAGGUAGAAUUCCCGGUGUAGCGGUGAAAUGCGUAGAGAUCGGGAGGAAUACCAGUGGCGAAG
rnacentral:rRNA from 1 species